GAAUAUUGGACAAUGGUCGGAAGACUGAUCCAGCCAUGCCGCGUGCAGGAUGACGGCCCUAUGGGUUGUAAACUGCUUUUAUACGGGAAGAAACCCACCUACGUGUAGGUGGCUGACGGUACCGUAAGAAUACGGACCGGCUAACUCCGUGCCAGCAGCCGCGGUAAUACGGAGGGUCCGAGCGUUAUCCGGAAUCAUUGGGUUUAAAGGGUCCGUAGGAGGGCCUGUAAGUCAGGGGUGAAAGUCUGUGGCUCAACCAUAGAAUUGCCUUUGAUACUGCAGGUCUUGAGUCAUGGUGGGGUUGCCGGAACAUGUGGUGUAGCGGUGAAAUGCAUAGAUAUCACAUAGAACACCGAUCGCGAAGGCAGGUGACCAACCAUGUACUGACGCUGAUGGACGAAAGCGUGGGUAGCGAACGGG
rnacentral:rRNA from 1 species